AGAGUUUGAUCCUGGCUCAGGACGAACGCUGGCGGCGUGCCUAAUACAUGCAAGUAGAACGCUGAAGAGAGGGGCUUGCUCUUCUUGGAUGAGUUGCGAACGGGUGAGUAACGCGUAGGUAACCUGCCUUGUAGCGGGGGAUAACUAUUGGAAACGAUAGCUAAUACCGCAUAACAAUGGAUGACACAUGUCAUUUAUUUGAAAGGGGCAAUUGUUCCACUACAAGAUGGACCUGCGUUGUAUUAGCUAGUAGGUGAGGUAAUGGCUCACCUAGGCGACGAUACAUAGCCGACCUGAGAGGGUGAUCGGCCACACUGGGACUGAGACACGGCCCAGACUCCUACGGGAGGCAGCAGUAGGGAAUCUUCGGCAAUGGGGGCAACCCUGACCGAGCAACGCCGCGUGAGUGAAGAAGGUUUUCGGAUCGUAAAGCUCUGUUGUAAGUCAAGAACGGGUGUGAGAGUGGAAAGUUCACACUGUGACGGUAGCUUACCAGAAAGGGACGGCUAACUACGUGCCAGCAGCCGCGGUAAUACGUAGGUCCCGAGCGUUGUCCGGAUUUAUUGGGCGUAAAGCGAGCGCAGGCGGUUUGAUAAGUCUGAAGUUAAAGGCUGUGGCUCAACCAUAGUUCGCUUUGGAAACUGUCAAACUUGAGUGCAGAAGGGGAGAGUGGAAUUCCAUGUGUAGCGGUGAAAUGCGUAGAUAUAUGGAGGAACACCGGUGGCGAAAGCGGCUCUCUGGUCUGUAACUGACGCUGAGGCUCGAAAGCGUGGGGAGCGAACAGGAUUAGAUACCCUGGUAGUCCACGCCGUAAACGAUGAGUGCUAGGUGUUGGAUCCUUUCCGGGAUUCAGUGCCGCAGCUAACGCAUUAAGCACUCCGCCUGGGGAGUACGACCGCAAGGUUGAAACUCAAAGGAAUUGACGGGGGCCCGCACAAGCGGUGGAGCAUGUGGUUUAAUUCGAAGCAACGCGAAGAACCUUACCAGGUCUUGACAUCCCGAUGCUAUUUCUAGAGAUAGAAAGUUACUUCGGUACAUCGGUGACAGGUGGUGCAUGGUUGUCGUCAGCUCGUGUCGUGAGAUGUUGGGUUAAGUCCCGCAACGAGCGCAACCCCUAUUGUUAGUUGCCAUCAUUCAGUUGGGCACUCUAGCGAGACUGCCGGUAAUAAACCGGAGGAAGGUGGGGAUGACGUCAAAUCAUCAUGCCCCUUAUGACCUGGGCUACACACGUGCUACAAUGGUUGGUACAACGAGUUGCGAGUCGGUGACGGCGAGCUAAUCUCUUAAAGCCAAUCUCAGUUCGGAUUGUAGGCUGCAACUCGCCUACAUGAAGUCGGAAUCGCUAGUAAUCGCGGAUCAGCACGCCGCGGUGAAUACGUUCCCGGGCCUUGUACACACCGCCCGUCACACCACGAGAGUUUGUAACACCCGAAGUCGGUGAGGUAACCUUUUGGAGCCAGCCGCCUAAGGUGGGACAGAUGAUUGGGGUGAAGUCGUAACAAGGUA
rnacentral:rRNA from 1 species